UUCGCUGACGAGUGGCGGACGGGUGAGUAAUGUCUGGGAAACUGCCUGAUGGAGGGGGAUAACUACUGGAAACGGUAGCUAAUACCGCAUAACGUCGCAAGACCAAAGAGGGGGACCCUCGGGCCUCUUGCCAUCGGAUGUGCCCAGAUGGGAUUAGCUUGUUGGUGGGGUAACGGCUCACCAAGGCGACGAUCCCUAGCUGGUCUGAGAGGAUGACCAGCCACACUGGAACUGAGACACGGUCCAGACUCCUACGGGAGGCAGCAGUGGGGAAUAUUGCACAAUGGGCGCAAGCCUGAUGCAGCCAUGCCGCGUGUAUGAAGAAGGCCUUCGGGUUGUAAAGUACUUUCAGCGGGGAGGAAGGGAGUAAAGUUAAUACCUUUGCUCAUUGACGUUACCCGCAGAAGAAGCACCGGCUAACUCCGUGCCAGCAGCCGCGGUAAUACGGAGGGUGCAAGCGUUAAUCGGAAUUACUGGGCGUAAAGCGCACGCAGGCGGUUUGUUAAGUCAGAUGUGAAAUCCCCGGGCUCAACCUGGGAACUGCAUCUGAU
rnacentral:rRNA from 1 species